GGAAGUCACCAAGGUGGCCAUGGGUGCCUGCUUUCCCACGGGCCAUACCCACACCCCAGGGGGACCCCGCUCCUCUACCACCCAACCCAACUCCUCUGGCCCGGCUCACAGCACCGUUCCAAGGUCCGGUGACUCAGGCACCUGGAGGUUCUCGGAGCUGACACGGGGUGCUGGCAUUUUAGCGACAAAUAGUGAGCUUCCCUGGUGGCUCAGCUGGUAAAGAACUGUCUGCAGUGCAGGCGACCCAGGUUCAACCCCUGGAUCGCNNNNNNNNNNNNNNNNNNNNNNNGGCAACCCACUCCAGUAUUCCUGCCUGAAGAGUUCCAUGGACGGAGGAGCCUGGUUGGGCUACAGUUCAUGGGGUCUCCAAGAGUCAGACAUGACUGAGUGACUAAACCUACCCAGGGGAGAAUCCACAUGGUAAGAGUCCCAGGGCAAGGAGGGUUCAGCUGGCAUGCCUGGGAGCUCUGAGGGGGAUCAGCCGACUGGGAGGCCAAUACUUCUGAAGAGGGCAUUGUCCGGGCUCCCCUGGACGCCAGCAGCCCCCACCCUGGGCCCAACUGCCUGUGCCCUGUGGUUCACACAGUGUGGGCUCUGCUGUGGGCCCCCAUCAGGAGGAGGAGUUGGAGGUUCAGGCACUGAUCAGACUUGCCCGAGGCCACGGCUGCCUUGUGGCUGAGCAGGGGGGAGUCUGACCCUAGGGGCUCACGUGAGCCUGAAGCGUGGCGGAGGAAGGCAUCUGAGAUCCGAGGCAGGGGCCUGGGCUUACCACAGCCAGGCUGUGUCGCCCCGCGGGUUCCUGGCAGGUUCUGCCAGGGCAAAGGCCGCCGGUCAGCUUGGACAUCCCGGGACACAGCCCCACCACUGCGCAGGGACGGCUUCCCAGGGAGCCUGGUGGCCCCGGGACCCCCUCCCCCACGGCCUCCUGUGCUCACUGGGGGUGCCAGGCAAAGCCUUUGCUUCUGGAAGCGGACCCUGACAGACCCCACCCGCCCUCCUACAGAGUGUCACACUUUCCGCCUCGUGUCAGUCACCCCACGUGUUACAGUUGUUACCCCCUCCUGCCCAGGAGUGGGGCUCGUUCCCUGGAGGAAGUCUAGGGGUUUUGAGGAGCCCAGGAAGGGACUUGAAACCAAUCUUUUGGGCCAGAUGUCCUGGGGAGCUGCUGGCAAGCCCCUGUGGUUGGGAUGUUUGGCACCAAAUCUGACAUCAGACUUGCUUCUGGGUGCCCCAGCUCCAGGGUUGGAGUGGAGGACUCCUGAUUGCCCCCAGUCUUGCCCCCUACCCCACCCACACCCAACACUUGGGACCUUCUGUGGCCACUUCUCAGAGCCCUGGACCCCGCGGCCCCCCCACCCCCACCCCGUCCUGAACCACGCCAGGGGCUGUUUUCACAGCUCCUCACGUCACCCGUGCAACAGGCCAGGGUGGGCUCCAAGCCGUCUGGCCUCCUGA
rnacentral:lncRNA from 1 species